rnacentral:rRNA from 1 species
CGCCCCUGUGAAAACGCCCUUAAAUCCCCUGUAGGGAUAAGGAGCUGGUAUUAGGCACAUUUAUAUUGCCCAAAACACCUAGCUAUGCCACACCCACAAGGGACCUCAGCAGUAAUUAACAUUGAACAUUAGCGACAGCUUGAUUCAGUUAAAGUAAAAAGAGCCGGCUAAUCUGGUGCCAGCCGCCGCGGUUACACCAUGUGGCUCAAAUUGACCCCUAUCGGCGUAAAGAGUGAUUUAAGAGUCUUAUUAUUGGCGUUAAAUUUUAACUAAGCUGUGACACGCUUGUUCUUUAGAAACCCCAAAACGAAAGUUACACCAACUAAACCAACUUGAAUUCACGACAACCAAGAGACAAACUGGGAUUAGAUACCCCACUAUGCCUGGCAGUAAACCUUAAACUACACCAAAAUCGCCCGGGAACUACGAGCAAAGCUUAAAACCCAAAGGACUUGACGGUACCCCAAAUCCACCUAGAGGAGCCUGUCCUAUAAUCGAUAAUCCCCGCUUUACCUUACCACUUCUUGUUAAUCAGCCUGUAUACCUCCGUCGUCAGCUUACCCCAUGAGUGAAACAUAGUGAGCUAAAUGCCAUUUCACCAACACGUCAGGUCAAGGUGCAGCUUAUGAAGUGGGAGAGAUGGGCUACACUCCCUAAUCUAGGAUACACAAAAAACUACUUAUGAAAUUUAGUUUGAAGGCGGAUUUAGAAGUAAAAAGAAACCAAAAAGUUCUUUUUAACUCGGCACUGGGGUGUGUACACACCGCCCGUCACCCUCUUCAAAAUCAAAUUAUAGUUUUUAACUUUAACACGAUAAAACAGAAGAGGCA